rnacentral:tRNA from 1 species
GGUGCCAUAGUCAAGUGAUAAAGACACAGGCCUUUCAAGCCUGAGACACGGGUUCAAAUCCCGUUGGCAUCA